rnacentral:rRNA from 1 species
GGAGCCUGAGAAAUGGCUACCACAUCCAAGGAUGGCAGCAGGCGCGCAAAUUACCCACUCUCAGUACGAGGAGGUAGUGACGAAAAAUAACAAUGCGGGACUCAUCAGAGGCCUCGCAAUUGGAAUGAGCGCACUUUAAAUCGUUCGACGAGGAUCUAUUGGAGGGCAAGUCUGGUGCCAGCAGCCGCGGUAAUUCCAGCUCCAAUAGCGUAUAUUAAAGUUGUUGCAGUUAAAAAGCUCGUAGUUGGAUCUGGGGUUCGGGUCGGCGGUUUGCCGCUUCGGCGGCUACUGCCGUGCUCGACUCUUACUAGCCGGUGCGUCUUGCGGUGCUCUUCAUCGAGUGCCGUAGGAGCCUGGCAUGUUUACUUUGAAAAAAUUAGAGUGCUCAAAGCAGGCGAUUCCGCCUGAAUAGUGUUGCAUGGAAUAAUGGAAUAGGACCUCGGUUCUAUUUUGUUGGUUUUCGGAACUUGAGGUAAUGAUUAAGAGGGACGGUCGGGGGCAUUCGUAUUUCGGUGUUAGAGGUGAAAUUCUUGGAUCGCUGAAAGACGGACAAAUGCGAAAGCAUCUGCCAAGAACGUCUCCAUUAAUCAAGAACGAAAGACAGAGGUUCGAAGACGAUCAGACACCGUCCUAGUCCUGACCAUAAACGAUGCCUACUAGCGAUCCGCAGUGGUUGCUAUAAACGGACUCUGCGAGCAGCUUCCGGGAAACCAAAGUGUUUGGGUUCCGGGGGAAGUAUGGUUGCAAAGCUGAAACUUAAAGGAAUUGACGGAAGGGCACCACCAGGAGUGGAGCCUGCGGCUUAAUUUGACACAACACGGGGAAACUCACCCGGUCCGGACACUGUAAGGAUUGACAGAUCGAGAGCUCUUUCUUGAUUCGGUGGAUGGUGGUGCAUGGCCGUUCUUAGUUGGUGGAGUGAUUUGUCUGGUUAAUUCCGAUAACGAACGAGACUCUAGCCUGCUAACUAGUUGCGCCGUGUUCAUACGCGGCUGUAGACUUCUUAGAGGGACAGGUGGCGUUUAGCCACACGAAAUUGAGCAAUAACAGGUCUGUGAUGCCCUUAGAUGUCCGGGGCCGCACGCGCGCUACACUGAAGGAGUCAGCGUGUGCUAUCCGGGCUCGGAGGAGUUCGGUAACCCGUUGAAACUCCUUCGUGCUUGGGAUUGUGGCUUGUAAUUAUCGCGCAUGAACGAGGAAUUCCCAGUAAGUGCAAGUCAUCAGCUUGCGCUGACUACGUCCCUGCCCUUUGUACACACCGCCCGUCGCUACUACCGAUUGAAUGGUUUAGCAAGGUACUCGGAUUGGUCUCGAUCUUGUACGAAAGUGCGGGAUCUGUGGCCGAGAAGAAGGCCAAACUUGAUCAUUUAGAGGAAGUAAAAGUCGUAACAAGGUU